rnacentral:rRNA from 1 species
UGGGGAAUUGUUCGCAAUGGGCGCAAGCCUGACGACGCAACGCCGCGUGGAGGACGAAGAUCUUCGGAUCGUAAACUCCUGUCGAGCGGGACGAACGGCCCGGGACUUAACACGUCUCGGGAGUGACGGUACCGCUAAAGGAAGCCCCGGCUAACUCCGUGCCAGCAGCCGCGGUAAUACGGGGGGGGCCAGCGUUGUUCGGAAUUACUGGGCGUAAAGGGCGCGUAGGCGGCCUUCUAAGUCAGACGUGAAAUCCCUCGGCUCAACCGGGGAACUGCGUCUGAUACUGGAAGGCUUGAAUCCGGGAGAGGGAUGCGGAAUUCCAGGUGUAGCGGUGAAAUGCGUAGAUAUCUGGAGGAACACCGGUGGCGAAGGCGGCAUCCUGGACCGGUAUUGACGCUGAGGCGCGAAAGCCAGGGGAGCAAACGGG